GGAGGAAGGGAGGGAGGGAGUAAGGGAAGGUAGACAAUUUGGAUCUGGUAAUUUCAGAAAAUCUAUGUUGAAAAUGAUUACUAUAUGUAAUUGAGAAAAUAAAAUUAUCUUUAAAUACAAAAAAGGAAUAAUUGGGUUAAGCAAUUGCCUUCAUUUGCAAAUGGUAGCAAAUUCAAGACGUUGCACAUUCAAGACUUGAAAUGGUCUAGAAGUGGUCUAGCACUGGCAGUAUUGAUCUGAAAAGAGCCUUCAUCUUUCCAACUCAAUUCCAUUAACAUUUUUUAUUGCUCUUCUCCAUCCUUUUUUAAUCUUAAUUCUUUACUGCAUUGAAAAUGUAGAACGCAGAGCUAUUUGAAAUUUUCUGACUGAAACCACCCGAGAAAUCAACUAGUGAAGAUGGUUUGUUUUUUGAUACGUUCAGUAAGACAAAUGAAGAAAUCAUGGCUAUGUUUAAUGUCCAAUGUAGACGGCAGAGUUGACAAAAUACAAUUUAAAAAUCUCACUUUCUGCAAAGUACGAUAUAAACCACCAGCCGGAGGAAGUGCUUGCGAAUGAGGCACGUCCAGGUGGUUUCAGGCCGGCUCAAUGGCCGUAUCUAGGGCUCUGGAGCUUUUCUGCAUGGAGCACUCGGGCUGUCCUUGGCUCCUGGAAGCAGCAAGGCCAUCAUGAUAAUCCAUCAAGUGAUAAGCACACCGAGUUGUGCCCAUCAGAUGAGAUGACGUAUGUUGAUGUGCCUUCCCAACAUUAAAGUCCUCCAUAAAUGCAAUAAUCUGCUGAUGAAGGAACAGAAUGAGGGAGCUGCUUCCCCGAAUCAUUUCAGACUAUAGAAUGCCUAAUGAAGACAGCACAGCAGUGGAAGAAUCACAACAGAAGAUCUAAUGUUGAGAAUGAGCUGGGGUCAAAAGGGAAAGCGAAGAAGAACCAAGAGGUUUUUUUUUUUUUGUGGGGUGGGGGUGGAGGGGAGGUACCAUUAGUACCUAACCAUCCCUAUACAUGGAUUAGAUUUAAAUACUCUUUUAUUCAUGGUAAUAACUUUUAAUGAUUAACUACAAACAUGCAAAAGUUCUCCUGUCUGAAUGGCAUUCACUCUCCUUAUUUCCUUUUAUCUAAGACUUUAAUAAGAUUAGGAAAGUUAUUCACAUUGAAGCUAUUCUCUCUAAUAUGGCAUUUCUAAGCAGUAUCUACAAUUCACACCAAAGAAAGAGAAAACAAUGUCAUCUGUUAACGCACUGUUACAUGUAGAGAAGUUCUAAAAAGAAAGGAGACCAAAUUUUGCACCCUAAAUUCAGCAAGUGUCCAACUCAUUCUUUUAACC
rnacentral:lncRNA from 1 species